rnacentral:tRNA from 1 species
UGGCUCAAAGGAUAAAGCGUCUGCCUGCAAUGCAGGAGACCCGGGUUCGAUCCCUGG